GAUGAACGCUGGCGGCGUGCCUAAUACAUGCAAGUCGAGCGAACGGACGAGAAGCUUGCUUCUCUGAUGUUAGCGGCGGACGGAUGAGUAACACGUGGAUAACCUACCUAUAAGACUGGGAUAACUUCGGGAAACCGGAGCUAAUACCGGAUAAUAUUUUGAACCGCAUGGUUCAAAAGUGAAAGACGGUCUUGCUGUCACUUAUAGAUGGAUCCGCGCUGCAUUAGCUAGUUGGUAAGGUAACGGCUUACCAAGGCAACGAUGCAUAGCCGACCUGAGAGGGUGAUCGGCCACACUGGAACUGAGACACGGUCCAGACUCCUACGGGAGGCAGCAGUAGGGAAUCUUCCGCAAUGGGCGAAAGCCUGACGGAGCAACGCCGCGUGAGUGAUGAAGGUCUUCGGAUCGUAAAACUCUGUUAUUAGGGAAGAACAUAUGUGUAAGUAACUGUGCACAUCUUGACGGUACCUAAUCAGAAGCCACGGCUAACUACGUG
rnacentral:rRNA from 1 species